CCAAUAGCGUAUAUUAAAGUUGUUGCAGUUAAAAAGCUCGUAGUUGAACUUCGGGGUUUACUCAUUGGUCAGGCUUAAUUGUCUGUACUGGUGAGAUGAAUCUCUACCUUCUGAGGAACUUUCAUGCCAUUUAGUUGGUGUGAUUGGAAAUCAGGACUGUUACUUUGAAAAAAUUAGAGUGUUUAAAGCAGGCUAACGUCUGAAUACAUUAGCAUGGAAUAAUGAAAUAGGACGGAUUGGUUCUAUUUCGUUGGUUUCUAGGAUCACCGUAAUGAUUAAUAGGGAUAGUUGGGGGCAUUAGUAUUCAAUUGUCAGAGGUGAAAUUCUUGGAUUUAUUGAAGACUAACUAUUGCGAAAGCAUUUGCCAAGGAUGUUUUCAUUAAUCAAGAACGAAAGUUAGGGGAUCGAAGACGAUCAGAUACCGUCGUAGUCUUAACCAUAAACUAUGCCGACUAGGAAUCAGACGAUGUUAAUUUUUUAAUGACUCGUUUGGCACCUUACG
rnacentral:rRNA from 1 species